rnacentral:rRNA from 1 species
CCUACGGGGGACAGCAGUGAGGAAUAUUGGUCAAUGGACGAGAGUCUGAACCAGCCAAGUAGCGUGAAGGAUGACUGCCCUAUGGGUUGUAAACUUCUUUUAUAUGGGAAUAAAAUGUUCCACGUGUGGGAUUUUGUAUGUACCAUAUGAAUAAGGAUCGGCUAACUACGUGCCAGCAGCCGCGGUAAUACGGAGGAUCCGAGCGUUAUCCGGAUUUAUUGGGUUUAAAGGGAGCGUAGGUGGAUUGUUAAGUCAGGUGUGAAAGUUUGCGGCUCAACCGUAAAAUUGCAGUUGAAACUGGCAGUCUUGAGUACAGUAGAGGUGGGCGGAAUUCGUGGUGUAGCGGUGAAAUGCUUAGAUAUCACGAAGAACUCCGAUUGCGAAGGCAGUUCACUGGACUGCAACUGACACUGAGGCUCGAAAGUGUGGGUAUCAAACAGGAUUAGAUACCCUUGUAGUC